rnacentral:rRNA from 1 species
AACGCGAAGAACCUUACCCAGGCUUGACAUCCUUGGAAUCUCUCCGAAAGGAGAGAGUGCCGUAAGGAACCAAGUGACAGGUGCUGCAUGGCCGUCGUCAGCUCGUGUCGUGAGAUGUUUGGUUAAGUCCAUCAACGAGCGCAACCCCUAUGUUUAGUUGAAUUUCUCUAAACAGACUGCCCUGGUAACAGGGAGGAGGGGGGAGUGAUGUCAGGUCAGUAUUGCCCUUACGUCUGGGGCUACAAACACGCUACAAUGGCCGGUACAAAGGGCUGCCAAGUCGCGAGACGGAGCAAAUCCCAUCAAAGCCGGUCUCAGUUCGGAUUGCAGGCUGAAACUCGCCUGCAUGAAGCUGGAAUCGCUAGUAACGGUGAGUCAGCACAUCACCGUGAAUACGUUCCCGGGCCUUGUACACACCGACUGUAC